CCUACGGGAGGCAGCAGUGAGGAAUAUUGGUCAAUGGCCGAGAGGCUGAACCAGCCAAGUAGCGUGCGGGAUGAAGGCCCUACGGGUCGUAAACCGCUUUUGCACGGGGAUAACACCCUCCACUUGUGGAGGUCUGCAGGUACCGUGCGAAUAAGGGCCGGCUAAUUCCGUGACAGCAGCCGCGGUAAUACGGAAGGCACGAGCGUUAUCCGGAUUCAUUGGGCUAAAGGGGAGCGUGGGCGGGAGUUCAAGUCAGCUCUAAAAUCGCGCGGCUCAACCGCGCCCCGCAGUUGAAACUGGACGCCUUGAGUUCACAACAGGCAGGCGGAAUUCGUGGUGUAGCGGUGAAAUGCAUAGAUAUCACGAGGAACCCCGAUUGCGAAGGCAGCCUGCCGGGGUGCGACUGACGCUGAGGCUCGAAGGUGCGGGUAUCAAACAGGAUUAGAUACCCUGGUAGUC
rnacentral:rRNA from 1 species